AUUGUUUUAGGACAAAAUGGGUCUCUCUUCUCUGGUCUAGACCAGUUCAGCACUGAAAAGAAAAAAAACAACUUCUAAUGCCACCUAUAAAGAAAGAACAGUUAAGUUCAGUCUGUCGUUUGCUUCUCAGUUGAGCAGUUGAGGUAGAAGUAGUUCCAGAGUUCUUCAGACUACAUAAAAAGCAGGUGAAGCAGAACCAGCACGAGCAAGAUGGCCUUUCGGAGUGAGGAGAUGUGCUUGACUCAGCUAUUUCUCCAGGUGGAGGCUGCGUAUUGCUGUGUGGCAGAACUUGGAGAGCUGGGGCUGGUUCAGUUCAGAGAUCUGAACAUGAACGUGAACAGUUUCCAGAGAAAGUUUGUGAAUGAAGUGAGAAGAUGUGAAUCCCUGGAGAGGAUCCUACGCUUUCUGGAAAAUGAGAUGGAAAACGAGACUGUGAUUAUCAAAUCAGAAAAGUAUCCAGAGACCCCCUUGCCUCGAGAAAUGAUUGAUCUGGAGACAGUUCUGGAGAAACUGGAGGCCGAGCUGCAGGAAGCUAAUCAGAAUCAGCAGACGCUGAAGCAGAACUUCCUGGAGCUCACUGAACUAAAACAUCUGCUGAAGAAAACACAGGACUUCUUUGAGACAGAAACCAGUCUGCCGGAUGAUUUCUUCAGUGAAGACACGUCUGGUUUAUUGGAAUUAAGGAGUACUCCAGCAGCAGCUGCUGCAAAACUGGGAUUCACGGCAGGGGUGAUAAAAAGGGAGAGGAUGGUCCCCUUUGAGCGUUUACUGUGGCGAGCUUGCCGGGGAAACGUCUACCUGAGGUACACGGAAAUGGACACUCCUCUGGAGGACCCAGUUACGAGAGAAGAGGUGAAAAAGAAUGUGUUCAUUAUCUUCUAUCAAGGAGAGCAGCUCCGACAAAAAAUCAAGAAGAUUUGUGAGGGGUUUCGUGCCACCGUGUACCCCUGUCCAGAAUCUGCUACUGAGCGUCGAGAAAUGGUUGAUGGUGUGAACACAAGGAUUGAAGAUUUAAACACAGUGAUAACCCAAACUGAAUCACAUCGCCAGCGACUUCUGCACGAGGCAGCUGUGAACCUGUGGACUUGGGGAAUCAAGGUGAAGAAAAUCAAGGCCAUCUACCACAUCCUGAACUUAUGUAACAUUGAUGUCACCCAGCAGUGUGUCAUCGCCGAGAUAUGGUUCCCCGUGGUAGACACGGGUAGGAUAAAAAGGGCCCUCAAGCAAGGAAUGGAACGUAGUGGCUCUACCAUUGCCCCUAUCCUGACUGCUGUGCAGACCAAGAUGUCUCCACCCACCUUCAACAGAACCAACAAGUUCACUGCAGGUUUUCAAAACAUUGUCGAUGCCUACGGCGUGGGGAAUUACAGGGAAAUGAAUCCAGCUCCAUACACGAUAAUUACCUUCCCCUUCCUGUUUGCUGUGAUGUUUGGAGAUUGUGGCCAUGGUGCUGUCAUGCUGGGCUUUGCUCUCUGGAUGGUCACUAAUGAGAAGGCUCUCUUGGCCCAGAAAAGCACUAAUGAGAUCUGGAACACUUUCUUCAGUGGGCGCUACCUGAUCCUGCUCAUGGGCAUAUUUUCCAUCUACACUGGCUUUAUCUACAAUGACUGCUUCUCCAAGUCUUUAAACAUCUUUGGCUCUUCCUGGCAUAUCCGCCCCAUGUUUAGUAACAGCACGUGGAAUGAGCAUGUUCUUGAAGAAAAUGAGGCAUUGCAGCUGGAUCCUGCAGUCCCAGGAGUCUACUCUGGAAAUCCAUAUCCUUUUGGAAUAGAUCCAAUCUGGAACAUUGCUAAAAACAAGCUGACUUUCUUAAACUCUUACAAAAUGAAGAUGUCUGUUGUCAUGGGGAUUACGCAGAUGGUCUUCGGGGUGAUACUCAGCCUUUUCAACCACAUCUACUUCAGGAGAACAAUAAACAUUGUCCUGCAGUUCAUUCCAGAGAUUAUAUUUAUCCUCUGUCUCUUCGGCUACCUGCUCUUCAUGAUUAUAUUUAAAUGGUGCUACUACAAUGUCCAUGUAUCCCAGUAUGCACCAAGCAUUCUCAUCCACUUCAUCAAUAUGUUCCUGUUCAAUUACAAUGAUCCUACAAACAGCCCCUUAUAUACACAUCAGAAGGAAGUCCAGAGCUUUCUGGUCAUAUUUGCCUUGAUUGCUAUUCCAUGGAUGCUUCUGAUUAAACCUUUUAUUCUCCGAGCCAAUCACCUGAAAGCUCAGCGUAUGCUCCAGUUACCACCAAUCUCAGAAGGCCCUGCUGGUGACACUGAAGUGGAGAUCACUCAACCCAACAACUCCAAGAAAGCUGGUCGUGAAAACCAUAGUAGUGGCCAUGGGGGACAUGAUGAUCACGAGGAAGAGUUCAAUUUUGGAGACAUAUUUGUACACCAAGCAAUCCACACCAUUGAAUACUGCCUGGGCUGCAUCUCUAAUACGGCAUCCUACCUCCGGCUCUGGGCACUAAGCUUGGCUCAUGCACAAUUAUCUGAAGUCCUCUGGACCAUGGUGAUGAGUGUGGGACUCAGCAGUAGCGGCUGGGGAGGACUUAUUGUGGUCUUUGUCAUCUUUGCUGUCUUCGCAGUUCUGACAAUAGCCAUUCUGCUUGUCAUGGAGGGUCUCUCUGCAUUCCUCCAUGCACUGCGCCUUCACUGUUGCUAAUGGCAUGAUGGCUGGCUGGCUUCCAUUAUGCCACACAUUAGACCCUGGAAAAUCCCAACUUGACUGCUGACCUAGAACAUAUCCACAUCCCAAUGCUUCAGAGAUCACUAGAAACUCAUGGUGGAGUUCCAGAACAAGUUUUACGUGGGGGCAGGCUAUAAGUUUUCUCCUUUCUCCUUCUAUGAUAUCAUAAAUGGAACAGAAGAAUAAAGGCAGAAUAAAGAAUUGAAGAAUAAAGGCAACUCAGCACACACAGAUCUUUAGUUCCCCAGAUCUUUCAUUUUACUUUCUUCUUAAUGUUAUUACCAUGUUGAAUGCUGAAUUCUCUUGAAUGUGAAUUUCAUAGUGCACCUAGUUAAUUGGAAUGGUUAUCCAAGUCAAUGCCAAGUAUCUAACUCUACAAAUUUUUUGGAGUCACCUCUCUCCUGUUUGCUUAAAAAUAGAGGAAUUGUGAUGUUUUGAAAUGAAUAAAUUAUUCAUAAUAAGUUCA